rnacentral:rRNA from 1 species
CAGCAGCCGCGGUAAUACGAAGGGGGCUAGCGCUGCUCGGAAUGACUGGGCGUAAAGGGCGCGUAGGCGGUUCGUACAGUCGGAUGUGAAAUUCCUGGGCUUAACCUGGGGGCUGCAUUCGAUACGUGCGGGCUUGAGUGUGGAAGAGGGUUGUGGAAUUCCCAGUGUAGAGGUGAAAUUCGUAGAUAUUGGGAAGAACACCGGUGGCGAAGGCGGCAACCUGGUCCAUGACUGACGCUGAGGCGCGAAAGCGUGGGGAGCAAACAGGAUUAGAUACCCCCGUAGUCCUGUCUCUUAUACA